ensembl:rRNA 5S_rRNA 5S ribosomal RNA
AUCUACGGCCAUACCACCCUGAAUUUGCCCAAUCUCAUCUGAUCUAGGAAGCUAAACAGGGUCGGCUUGAUUAGUACUUAGAUGGGAGACGACCUGGGAAUACCGGGUGCUUUAAAAA